CCCCAAUGGCAAUGCCAAGAAUAAGAAUCCACUCAUCUAUGUAGCCGGAUGUCAGUAUGUCUGCGCGUCUAUAUGUGUGUGAAUAUCUGUAUCUGGGAGCGUUGCAAGUAUCUUCGUAUCUUUGCGCUUUAUAGCUAUUGGUUUUUGGUCGUUUGUUGGCUGCCGCUUUCCGUUUUGAAACAAAAAUGAGUACAAGGGUUAUUUUUAGAACUAAAAUUUUCUUGAUUUUUACUCGUUAACAUUGCUUACGCUCCGUUCUGUAGUUGCUGUCUGUCCGUCUCCCCUUUUACCCUCCCCCUUGCCCUCGCUCAAAAUUUUCUCCGCUGGCGUCACGAUCGUGAAUGUAGCUAUAGCUAUAAUUUGUAUCUGUACGCCUGUAUGAGCACCCGUAUCGCUAUGCCUGUAUCUGUAUCUGAAUCCGAAUCUGUUUCUGAAUUCGAAUCGGUUUCUUUUUUUGGGUCCGGUGAUCUUCGGAGUGGACUUUUCAGCCCUGCAUCAAACAUAUAUGCACAUAUGUGGGAACAUGUGUGUACACUUGGAACAAAGUCAAAAGAUUCAAAAGGUUGGAAAAGGAAUGGGGGAUUUAAUUUAAUAUAGUUCCAUUUAUAUAAAACAAAGAACGUAACGAAUUUCAUGAUCGAAAACUUAAAAUAAUUAUAAAAAUGCAUUUAAGAGAUCGUAGUGUGGAUUUUCUCAGUCAGAAUCAACAAGUAUACACUGUUACUAACAUAUACUUUCUUUCAACUGAUUUCCCCAAUAGAACUGAUUUAAAAUUAUGGGAUGGAAAAAUAUGGUAUAGCACAUAAGAAACCAUUCGAGAAGCAAGAGAAAUGCUUUAUUCACAUCCUGUUCGAUUGAGGACGUGGCAGGUCGAUUUUGUUAAGUGUGUGCCAUGGACUGGCAGAUGUUCGGCUGAGUGAGUGCAUGUGGCCGAUUUACAUGGGCUCGGAUGUGAUGCUCUUACUUUACACACUGCCACAGCACCGGCGGCACCAAGAUCCCAAGAUCUCGAGAUCUCGAAAUCAGCGGGGAGCGUUUAACGAACGUUUUUCGCCAAUGACGGCCAGCGACGAGAGUACAUAAGAUUUAUAGUAGCUAUUUUUAAAGCGGCGUAUUAAGAACCGUAGGCCAGCGAGCAGAAACAGUCUACUACCACCGCGAUCCAUCCCAACCGAUGCGAUCGGCCAUAAGAAGUCAGGGGAGCUCCACGUACAUUCCCUUCGGGGUCUUUGGAUCGGGAUGGGUUGUUGAACUCAACACUUUUUGAGUGAAAACUGGAGCAAGCCAUACAAUGCUGUUUCAAAAUGGGCAGGUAUUGAGUGGCUUCAUAUAAUACCAUUGCAAUAUUACAGCAGUUUUAACAUAAAUACUAAAGAACACAUAGAUUAUCUGUAAAAUAAAGCGCAUUGAUGUGACAAUGAAAUAAUAACGAUG